UUUAUAUGAUGACAAUUUUUAUCUUGACCCAAUCCGUGAGAGGAAACUGAUUUAAUGAGCCUGAUAG
rnacentral:snoRNA from 1 species